rnacentral:lncRNA from 1 species
AUGCCCUUAGUCUCCUAUGGCUCUGGGUCCCCCGUGUCCCUCUUUUCUUUCUUCUCAUUGCACAGUCUUCAAGUCCGCGUCUCUCUUCGAGGAGACCCCCACAACUGGCGCCUGAACAGGCACUUGAAAGGAAUCCCGGUGGCUAUGUGGACAUCUGGACCUACUGAGGUCGAACAAAUGAACCGAUCGGGCCCGUUUAUGAAGCGGUGCCCGCGCCUCCUCCUCCUCCCAUAAAACAGCCAGAUGUGCCUCAGUCUUUGCAUUCUCGGGGAAGAAAAGUUAAAAUGGAUUAAGGAGAAAACAAAUAGCAGAAGAGGGAGAUAUUUGAAGCAAGAGUGGAGUACAAAGGAAGAUUACAAAAAUUUUGGGAAACUGGUGAAGAAAGAAGGAAAGAAAAAAGGAAGAAGGGUAAUCUAGAACAGAACAGAACAACAACACCAAAAAACUAGAAACAAUGUUCACAUUCAUCAAAACAAGAACAAAACAAAAGAAAAAAAUUUCUAAGGAAAAAAUCCACUUCAAGGUGCAUUUCUGCUGUGACUGGUAGACACACUGAGCAAACAGAAUCCAAAUCUGUGUUGAUUAAUCCCAGCAAGCCAGUUGUAGAUUUAUGGUGGUUUAGUAGAUAAUUGCAAGAAGCCCGAACCUUUAGUUUCCCCAAAGUUCAGGUUGAUUUCUGGCCGUAAGGCUGCAACCCAAUUUGUUCAGGCUGCAACACUCCUUGUGCCUCCAGCCAGGUUGAACUUGGCUCCUUCAACUUGAACUCAGCUUUUUGACCUGCUGCCUUGAACUCAGUUCUGCCUCACCUUGACCCUGGAGCUGAGUGCUCUGAGUUUUGAGCACAGUUGGUCCCUCUCCAAGAUGGCUACCAGCCAAUUGUCCUCUCCUGGGGGAUGUCUGAACUCUAAUAAAUCAUCAGCCAUUGCAGUCUGCUGUGUCCACUGCUCCAUUUCACAGAUAUGUUUCUCUGUGUAGGCCUUUGAUGUUGCCAGUAGUCACCAUGUGGCUUCAGGUUCAAGCCACCCUUCCCAUGCAGUGAGUUAGGGCUCAGGGAGAGAGCACCACUUGCUACCUCCUCCUUUAUUGAAGUCUCUUCACUCUCCCCAUUGGCUUCAGUUCUUACUUCAGAUCCUUGAUUGGUCCUGGGGCCCCCUUCUCUCCUCUUCCUCAUGUUACUAUAUUCCAGCAGUGAUACCAAAUCUCAGAGAUGCUGUUUCUCUACAUUCACCACUCCACUAUCUUCCCAGAAGUCCUCAACUGUAAUUAAAAGAAAUUGCAAAAUGGAUCAAAAAACAGUAUUUAAUAUUCUGUUGUAUGAAAAAAUGUCAUCUAAUUCAAAGAUUUAUAGAGUAAAAAUCUAAAGAUGGGAAACAGUAUUUCAUAGACUAAGACACCCCCCCCCAAAUAGGAGUAACAAUUUUCAUCGUAGACAUGGUAAACUUUAAGGUAAAACUGAUUGGCAUGGACAAUGGUGGUACUACAUACUAGUUAGUGAAACAAUCCAACAUGAAGAGAUAAUGUUUAUAAAUGUUUAGGCAACAAACGCUAAAGCACCUAUCUUCCUAAAAGAAACUGGAACCAGAAGGAUGAAAUAAACAAUCAUGAUGGGAAAUCUUUUUAGUUGUUGUUCUUGCUUAAAUUCUUUUAUUGGUACAUUUUAGAUAUACGAUACAUUUACAUUUAUCAUUGGGUGUUUGUACCUGUACAUAUCUUGGUUCUUAUUUUUUCCCCAUUACCUGUGGGCCCUUCACCCCCUCCACCCUUCCCUAUUGGCAAAGACCUUGUUUCCAUUUUUUUCCUCUUCUCCAUAAUUUUUGUUUCCCUUCUUUCCUUUCCCCUUCCCUCUUCCCCUUCCCUUUUGGACAUUUUCUUCCUAUUUCAAAUUAUCAAUUAUUCAUUUUAAUCCUUUUAAAUCUUACACUUUAAGUUUUUUACACUAGAGAAACUAUUCAGUAUUUAUACGUGUGUCCUAUUUAUUUCACUUAAGAGUAUGUCAUCAAUGUGCAUCCAUUUAGCUAUAAAUGUCUAGUUUCUUGUUCUUUAUGGCUGAGUAGUACUCCAUUUUAUUAAAAAAGCAAAUCUACAUCCAGUUUCCAGUUGAUGGCUACUUGGGCUGUUUCCAAGCUUUAGCUAUUACAAACUGUGC